rnacentral:tRNA from 1 species
GCGCCUCUAGCUCAACGGCAGAGCAAUGGACUCUUAAUCCACAGGUUGGGGGUUCGAAUCCCCCCGGGGCGCA